UGAUACGGAGGAUGCGAGCGUUAUCCCGAUUUAUUGGGUUUAAAGGGUGCGCAGGCGGGAUUUUAAGUCAGCGGUGAAAUUUUCAGGCUCAACCUGAACACUGCCGUUGAAACUGGGAUUCUUGAGUAUGGAUGAAGUAGGCGGAAUUCGUUGUGUAGCGGUGACAUGCUUAGAUAUAGCGAGGAGCUCCGAUUGCGUAGGCAGCUUACUAAGCCAUAACUGACGCUCAAGCACGAAAGCGUGGGGAUCAAACAGGAUUAGAUACCCUGGUAGUCCACGCCGUAAACGAUGAUUACUAGUUGUUUGCGAUAUACCGUAAGUGACUAAGCGAAAGCGAUAAGUAAUCCACCUGGGGAGUACGCCGGCAACGGUGAAACUCAAAGGAAUUGACGGGGGCCCGCACAAGCGGAGGAACAUGUGGUUUAAUUCGAUGAUACGCGAGGAACCUUACCCGGGCUUGAAAUGUACCUGACCGUCCUUGAAAGGGGACUUCUAGCAAUAGCAGGUAUGUAGGUGCUGCAUGGUUGUCGUCAGCUCGUGCCGUGAGGUGUCGGCUUAAGUGUCAUAACGAGCGCAACCCACAUUAUUAGUUACUAACAGGUCAUGCUGAGGACUCUAAUAAGACUGCCGUCGUAAGAUGCGAGGAAGGUGUGGAUGACGUCAAAUCAGCACGGCCCUUACGUCCGGGGCGACACACGUGUUACAAUGGGAGGUACAAAGGGCUGCUACCUGGUGACAGGAUGCUAAUCCCCAAAGCCUCUCCCAGUUCGGAUCGGAGUCUGCAACUCGACUCCGUGAAGCUGGAUUCGCUAGUAAUCGCGCAUCAGCCAUGGCGCGGUGAAUACGUUCCCGGGCCUUGUACACACCGCCCGUCAAGCCAUGGGAGCCGGGGGUAUCUGAAGUGCGUAACCGCA
rnacentral:rRNA from 1 species